rnacentral:tRNA from 1 species
UGGGGGAUCGUCUAGUGAGUAGGACUCAAGACUCUGGAUCUUACUACCAAGGUUCGAAUCCUUGUCCCCAGCCA